GUGAAAGACUAAUAGUUAUAACAAUGAUAUAAACAUGUAUACACGUAUACAGAGAACUAAAUUAAUGCUGUAAGAACCUGCUAACUUUUGAUGGGUUUCGCUGAAAAUCCCUUAUAUUUAAAGGUGCUAAGAACAUGUACACUGUAAAAAAUGGAAAAGAAAACAGGGGGGUCUAUGCCACAAUCGCUUGUGGAAUUAUUGCAAAGAACAAACAUUUGUACAGAAACGAAAUUGACAAAUGUGUUAAUUAGCUUUCCUGUUUAUCCUUCCUAAGAAGAUUGAUAUGCUUUUUCAUGUCAAUUCUAAAAUUUGUUGACUUAGACAUAUAUUUCUUUAUAAUUGUGGUAACAAGAACUAGAUAGCCUGUGUCGCUCACCUUGGUCUAUGAAGGACACAGAUGAUUCAUGACAAAAUUGUGUUUGUAGAUCUUACUUUACUGAACAUUCUUGCUACUUACAAUUUUCUCUAUCUAUAAUAGCAGCAACCCAACAACCAGUUGUCCAAUUCAUAUGAAAAUUUUGGAGCAGAUAGAUAUUGACUUGGUCAACAAUUUAACCCUUGGUCAGAUUUGCUCUAAAUGCUUUGGUUUCAGAGUUAUAAGCCAAAAUCUACAUUUUACCCCUAUGUUCUAUUUUUAGCCAUGGCGACCAUUUUGAUUUGUUGGCUGGGUCACCACACACAGUUUUUGAACUAGAUACCUUAAUAAUGAUUGUGGACAAGUUUGGUUAAAUUUGACCCAGUUAUUUCAGAGGAAAAGAUUUUUGUAAAAGAUUACAAAAAUUUAAGAAAAAUUG
rnacentral:lncRNA from 1 species